UGGGGAAUAUUGCACAAUGAGCGAAAGCUUGAUGCAGCUAUGCCGCGUGUAUGAAGAAGGCCCUAGGGUUGUAAAGUACUUUCAGUUGCGAAGAAAAAGAUGAAGAUAACACCUUCUUCGGAUGACGUUAGCAACAGAAGAAGCACCGGCUAACUCCGUGCCAGCAGCCGCGGUAAUACGGAGGGUGCGAGCGUUAAUCGGAAUUACUGGGCGUAAAGGGCACGCAGGUGGUAAGUUAAGUUGAUUUGUGAAAUCCCUGGGCUCAACCUAGGAAAGCAUUCAAAACUAAUUUACUAGAGUCUUGUAGGGGGGAAUAGAAUUCCAUGUGUAGCGGUGAAAUGCGUAGAGAUAUGGAGGAAUACCGAUGGCGAAGGCAAUUCCCUGGACAAAGACUGACACUCAUGUGCGAAAGCAUGGGGAGCAAACAGG
rnacentral:rRNA from 1 species